CUUAMCAUGCAAGUCGAACGAUGAUGCCCAGCUUGCUGGGUGGAUUAGUGGCGAACGGGUGAGUAACACGUGAGUAACCUGCCCCUGACUCUGGGAUAAGCGUUGGAAACGACGUCUAAUACUGGAUAUGAUCACUGGCCGCAUGGUCUGGUGGUGGAAAGAUUUUUUGGUUGGGGAUGGACUCGCGGCCUAUCAGCUUGUUGGUGAGGUAAUGGCUCACCAAGGCGACGACGGGUAGCCGGCCUGAGAGGGUGACCGGCCACACUGGGACUGAGACACGGCCCAGACUCCUACGGGAGGCAGCAGUGGGGAAUAUUGCACAAUGGGCGAAAGCCUGAUGCAGCAACGCCGCGUGAGGGAUGACGGCCUUCGGGUUGUAAACCUCUUUUAGUAGGGAAGAAGCGAAAGUGACGGUACCUGCAGAAAAAGCACCGGCUAACUACGUGCCAGCAGCCGCGGUAAUACGUAGGGUGCAAGCGUUGUCCGGAAUUAUUGGGCGUAAAGAGCUCGUAGGCGGUUUGUCGCGUCUGCUGUGAAAUCCCGAGGCUCAACCUCGGGCUUGCAGUGGGUACGGGCAGACUAGAGUGCGGUAGGGGAGAUUGGAAUUCCUGGUGUAGCGGUGGAAUGCGCAGAUAUCAGGAGGAACACCGAUGGCGAAGGCAGAUCUCUGGGCCGUAACUGACGCUGAGGAGCGAAAGCAUGGGGAGCGAACAGGAUUAGAUACCCUGGUAGUCCAUGCCGUAAACGUUGGGCGCUAGAUGUAGGGACCUUUCCACGGUUUCUGUGUCGUAGCUAACGCAUUAAGCGCCCCGCCUGGGGAGUACGGCCGCAAGGCUAAAACUCAAAGGAAUUGACGGGGGCCCGCACAAGCGGCGGAGCAUGCGGAUUAAUUCGAUGCAACGCGAAGAACCUUACCAAGGCUUGACAUACACCGGAAACGGCCAGAGAUGGUCGCCCCCUUGUGGUCGGUGUACAGGUGGUGCAUGGUUGUCGUCAGCUCGUGUCGUGAGAUGUUGGGUUAAGUCCCGCAACGAGCGCAACCCUCGUUCUAUGUUGCCAGCGGGUUAUGCCGGGACUCAUAGGARACUGCCGGGUCACUCGGAGRRARGGUGGGGAUGACGUCAAUCAUCAUGCCCCUUAUGUNUGGGCUU
rnacentral:rRNA from 1 species